CCUUCGAUAGCUCAGUUGGUAGAGCGGAGGACUGUAGUAUGAGAAGUCAUAGACAUCCUUAGGUCGCUGGUUCGAAUCCGGCUCGAAGGA
rnacentral:tRNA from 1 species